UGGGGAAUUUUGGACAAUGGGGGCAACCCUGAUCCAGCAAUGCCGCGUGUGUGAAGAAGGCCUUCGGGUUGUAAAGCACUUUUGUCCGGAAAGAAAACGCCGUGGUUAAUACCCGUGGCGGAUGACGGUACCGGAAGAAUAAGCACCGGCUAACUACGUGCCAGCAGCCGCGGUAAUACGUAGGGUGCAAGCGUUAAUCGGAAUUACUGGGCGUAAAGCGUGCGCAGGCGGUCCGCUAAGACAGAUGUGAAAUCCCCGGGCUUAACCUGGGAACUGCAUUUGUGACUGGCGGGCUAGAGUAUGGCAGAGGGGGGUAGAAUUCCACGUGUAGCAGUGAAAUGCGUAGAGAUGUGGAGGAAUACCGAUGGCGAAGGCAGCCCCCUGGGCCAAUACUGACGCUCAUGCACGAAAGCGUGGGGGAGCAAACAGGAUUAGAUACCCUGGUAGUCCACGCCCUAAACGAUGUCAACUAGUUGUCGGGUCUUCAUUGACUUGGUAACGUAGCUAACGCGUGAAGUUGA
rnacentral:rRNA from 1 species